CCUGAAAGUUUUGGAGUCCUGGUGUUGUCCCCAAAAUUUUGGUGUCCUGACGUUGUCGCCAAAAGUUGUGGGGUUGUCCCCAAAAUUUUGGGGUCCCAGCAUUAUCCCCAAAAGUUAUGGGGUCGUCCCUGAAAGUUUUGGGGUCCUGGGGUUGUCCCCAAAAUUUUGGGGUCCUGGCAUUGUCACCAAAAGUUUUGGGGUUCCCACAUUGUCCCCAAAAGUUAUGGGGUUCUGUCAUUGUCGCCGGAAGUUUUGGGGUCCCGCCGUUGUCGCCAAAUCUGUGGGCUCGCCCUAAAUCCGAAGGUUCUCCCGGUUGGAAUCUGGACUGAGCCGAUCCCUGGGGAGCUUCCCGACCUUCUGGGCACCCCUUGGGGACAUCGGGGUGUCCCCAGGGUGGCUCUGUCCCCUCCGGGGAGCCCCGGGAAGGGCGAUCCCGCUCUUUGUCCCCCGGAUUCCGGAGGUUGGGAAGUGUGGCCGGGUGUCCCCUGAGGUGUCCCCUGAGCACCCAGGGGUGUCCCUAAGGAGGAGGAGGGGACACGGAGAGGGGACAGAGGCACCCAGGGGUGUCCCCAAGGAGGGGGAGGGGACAGAGGCACCCAGGGGUGUCCCCAAGGAGGGGGAGGGGACACAGAGAGGGGACAGAGGCACCCAGGGGUGUCCCUAAGGAGGGGGAGGGGACACGGAGAGGGGACAGAGGCACCCAGGGGUGUCCCUAAGGAGGGGGAGGGGACAAAGCCACCCAGGGGUGUCCCUAAGGAGGGGGAGGGGACAGAGGCACCCAGGGGUGUCCCUAAGGAGGGGGAGGGGACAGAGGCACCCAGGGGUGUCCCCAAGGAAGGAGAGGGGACACAGAGAGGGGACAGAGCCACCCAGGGGUGUCCCCAAGGAAGGAGGGGACACCCAGCCCCCACCCCCCAGGGCUGUCCCCUCCUGGCUGGCGCCGGGAUGAGCCGCGAUUCUUUGGGAUUUGGGGAUUUGGGGGAUUUUUGGGGCCCAUUCCCGGCCGAUGGAAUCCUCGCUCCGCCCUAGAAACCCAUUAAUUAACGCCAAUUAAAGACGUUUCCUACAACCCCCGCGGGUCUGCAGCGAUUCGGGAUUUGGGAUCCGCUGGAAAAACGGGAAUGGGGGAGGCCGGCAUGGGGGGGUGAUCCCACCCCAAAAAUAGGAGAGGGCCAUAAAAAUCCCCCCAAAUUGGGUUUUUUUGGGGGUACGGGGAGGAGAAAAUGGGGAUUUCAGGGGUUCUGCUUCCGUUUUGGGGUUUUUUGGGAAUAAAUCCGGCUGGG
rnacentral:lncRNA from 1 species